UGGCUUUAUUAAGCCUGGUCCAAUAUCUAUGUCAAUAUUGUACAAAACGCUGCGUUUCUUUUUUGUUUCAACAAUCUCUUUUCUCCGCCGUACCUAUUCUAGGUUUUUUCUCGAUUUGUUCAUCUUCUUCCAUACAAUCCAGAGAUCAAUCGGUUACGGAUUCAAUCCUCUUAAAUACCUUCUUAAAUCUAUCUUCAAUGACGCCUUUUCUCUUCGAAGGCUGUGGAUGUUCGAGUAUAAAAAGUUAAGCAUCUCUACACUUCUGUCAGGAGUUCGUUUUUCCAUGGAUGAGGUCAGGCUGUUGCGUUUCUGGGAGGCGAGGUGAUGAGCUCAUGUCCGUCGAUAUGCUUUUGCUUGAUACAAAUAUAUCAUUGGGGAGAUCACGGCUGUUAAGAGUUCUGUCAGUGACCCUCCGGCAGACAAUAAUCACUUGAUGGCGACCAUCAAACUGGAAAAGUAAGUAAUUAAUAAUUUUUUUGAGCCUCUUUAAAUGAAACAUAUCUCAUGCACCCUCUUUACUGCAACUACCGUACCAAUCACAUUCGUAUCAGUUAUGUAUUGAUGUGUGCGUGACUUUGAGUUUGUUUGACUCCCAUGCUGUUUCGUUUCACCGCAAGCUGGAAUCCAUGCGAGGUGAACCAAGAGUUGUUGUUGCGACGAGCUUAAUCCUAAAAUAGUUUGAGGCCGUUUGUUCCUUAAUGCAACCUCAGGAACACACAUUUAUUUCGAUAAAGAUACUAUUGUAGGAGAGGUCCCUCUUUUACAAGUUGGUCUCCACAGACACUGUGCUGCAGUCAGCAGCUCCACUUCUGAAAGCAUCUGCCAAGGUUGAGAAUCUGACAAUAUCCGAGCUUAAUGAGUUUGUCAUAACUGCUCCAUCUCAAGACAUUGACUUCAUGUGUUCUAGGAAAGUUACUGGCAUCAGGAUGGACAAAGGGUGGUGUUAUGUUGUUUGCUCUAAGUGCACAAAAAACGGCAACGCACAGACUCAGCAUUCACAUGUGUGCACUGCAACAAUACAAAUGCUGUUGGUGCCCUCCGAAAAUUGAUUAUUGGUUUCUAGAUAUCGAGUGGAGUUGGGCAUAGCUGAUGAUACUGCUGAGGGCGUUUUCGUUUGUUUUGAUGGGGUGAUGACGAAACUUCACAACGUCAAAGCAAAUGAAGCUGAUCAUAUGUUGGUAAGUUACAUUAUAUCUCUCAGAGUCGUCCUCCCCGUGUAAGUUCUACCCAAGCGAUCUUGAUUUAACAACUAGGCUGACAGCUCCACGGCAAGUCAUCAGACUUACACCAUCAUACGGAUCCUUAACUGACGUGAUCGUGCACCACUCCCUGAUUUCGUUGAUAGUGGAAACAACGUGGACAAGGAGAACGACAUAUAGAACCCAUUACUCUACAAUUCAUCCUUACUUUAGUGGUUUCAAGCCAUGCAUAUUAAUUAAGAUUUUUGAGUGACCGUUUUAAGAUAUGUUUUUUGGUCAAUGUGUUUAGAGAAGCUAAAUUAGUUUUGUUAGAUUUAAGAAAAGAAUAUAAAGAUAUAUAAUUGAAUUUGCAUU